AUGCUCCGCCGCCUCCAGCGCGUCGGGGCGCAGGUGUUGGCCGCCCUCUGGCCAAGCGAGAUGAUUCCCCGCACCCCGAGUCGGACUGCCGACUGGCUGGAAGUUGCGGUUGGCCGCUUCGAGGCUUGGAAAGCAUCAGCGGCCCGACUUGGAGCUGGGCGGGCGUUGGAGUUCGUCCGAGCUUGGUAUCCGGGGCUGAACCUGGACCAGCUGCGCACCUGGCGGCUGGAGGCCGACGAAGAGCUGGAGGAGGUGCGGCCGGCUAUCGCUCAGCACGCUUCGACGAUCGCCGAGUGUACUGACAUCAGCGUCUUCGCUCCUGAAAUUAAUGAUGACGGUGCUGCCCAGCCGGAGGAGUGGUUCGGGCUGGACCCGGCAGCGGGUGAAGACUCGGCAGAGGAGAUCGCCUCCAGCGAUGAAGGCGAAGACGGCGAAGGAGAGGAGGGCGAAGAUGAUGAGCCGGCCGGUUAA
rnacentral:rRNA from 1 species